rnacentral:rRNA from 1 species
GACGAACGCUGGCGGCGUGCUUAACACAUGCAAGUCGAGCGGUAAGGCCUUUCGGGGUACACGAGCGGCGAACGGGUGAGUAACACGUGGGUGAUCUGCCCUGCACUUCGGGAUAAGCCUGGGAAACUGGGUCUAAUACCGGAUAUGACCUCCUAUCGCAUGGUGGGUGGUGGGAAGAUUUAUCGGUGCAGGAUGGGCCCGCGGCCUAUCAGCUUGUUGGUGGGGUAAUGGCGUACCAAGGCGACGACGGGUAGCCGACCUGAGAGGGUGACCGGCCACACUGGGACUGAGAAACGGCCAAGACUCCUACGGGAGGCAGCAUGGGGGAAUAUUGCAAAAUGGGCGAAAGCCUGAUGCAGCGACGCCGCGUGAGGGAUGACGGCCUUCGGGUUGUAAACCUCUUUCAGCAGGGACGAAGCGCAAGUGACGGUACCUGGAGAAGAAGCACCGGCUAACUACGUG